GCUUGAGUGAUGACUUAAUCUUUGUCGGAUACCCCUUCACUCUCUCUGAGUGAGAAAACCUAACUGACAAGC